GCCGGCAACUUCUCCUCCGUCAGAUCCGAACAAACGCGUUUUCCAACCGUUCGGAAACGCGGCGGCGCUGUUCGUCCUCAUGGGAGCUUACCGCGGCGGUCCAUCAUCCUUCUCCGUCGUCGGACUCGCCUCAAAGCCAAUCCACACCUUCGGGAAGCCAUGGUUCAAGUGCGAGUACCUAUCCAACAACGGAACCACAACACGAGCCACCAAAGCCGUGAAGAUCCUCCCGGACUGGGGCUACGGACGAGUCUACACCGUCGUGGUCGUCAACUGCACGUUCCACUCGAACCCCAACUCCGAUAACUCCGGAGGUAAACUCAUCCUCAACGCCUACUACAACGAACCUCCCACACUCUUCGAGAGGUUCACGGCCCUCGAGGAGGGCGCAGGGUCUUACAACGAGUCGAGAUUCUCGCCGCCGUAUCCGUACGAGUACCUCUACUGCGGCUCGUCGCUGUACGGGAACGUGAGCUCGUCGCGUAUGAGGGAGUGGAUGGCUUACCACGCUUGGUUCUUUGGUGAUAAAUCGCAUUUUGUCUUUCACGAUGCCGGUGGUGUUUCGCCGGAGGUUAGGGAGGUUCUUGAGCCGUGGAUUCGAGCAGGGAGGGUCACGGUUCAGGACAUUAGGGACCAGGCUCGGUACGAUGGUUAUUACUAUAAUCAGUUUUUGAUUGUGAAUGAUUGUUUGCAUCGGUAUCGUCACGCUGCGGAGUGGACGUUUUUCUUUGAUGUUGAUGAGUAUAUUUAUUUGCCUGAUGGGAAUACGCUUGAAUCGGUUCUUGCUGAGUUUUCGGAUUAUACUCAGUUCACUAUUGAGCAGAACCCAAUGUCUAGUGUUCUUUGCUUGAACGAUUCAACUCAAGAUUAUCCCAGGUAUUGCUUCCUCAGUCUCCUUUGUAAUGCAAUUGAAUUCAAAGAAGUCAAUUGUUAUUGUUAGUACUUGGUAGAACCGAGCAUUCAUUCGUUUUUUGGUUUGAUUGUUUUAGUUUUCGGUUCUUUGUUAAAUAGAAAUUAGAAGAUAUCGGAACUGUCAAAGUAUUUUAUAAAAUUGGGUCGGGUUUGGUUCUUUAGUUCUGGUAAAAACAUUAACAACAACUAAUACCUGAAAAGUUGCUCAAAAAAGAAAAAAAAACUGAAAAAAUGAAAUUCAGUUUGGAUGUUAGACAAUUUGGAUUGUUUGAAAUAAAAUACUGGAUAAUUCGGACUAAUUCAUAUAAUUUGGAUAUAAAUAUUCGGAUACAAACAUAAAUUUUGAUAAUUCCUAGACUGUAGUUAUUUUAAAAUUAAAGAUAAUAGAUAUAUUAGUUGUAUUUCGGGUAUUAUAAUCCGAUUCGGUUUAGUAAUUUUAGUAUAGAGAAACAUGAACCAUUUAGAUGGUUUUCUGUUCGGUUCUUUGGAAUUUGGAACGCCUAAGCGUAAUUGUAGGAUAGAACCUUGGAAAUUAGCUUUUAAUUUGAUCAGUGAUGUUUCUGAAAAGAAAAACACUUGUUUUCUUGUUUGGUGUGUAUUUGUUAUCAGGCAAUGGGGAUUUGAGAAGCUACUAUUCAGAGAAUCAAGAACAAACAUACGACGUGACAGGAAAUAUGCGAUCCAGGCCAAGAACGCUUUUGCGACAGGAGUUCACAUGUCUGAAAACGUAGUAGGCAAAACGCUACACAAGACAGAGACAAAGAUCCGUUAUUACCAUUACCACAACACCAUAACAGUGCACGAGGAGCUUUGCAGAGAGAUGUUACCUGUUUCGGCCAAGAAGAAGGUGACAUUGUACAAGAAGCUUCCAUUUGUGUAUGACGAUAACAUGAAGAAGCUAGUGAACACGAUUAAAGAGUUUGAGCAGAAAAAACUUGGGACCAAAGAUGUGAAGCAUUUCUCAUGACAAGAGAUAACAACCUAAUCCCUCUGAUAAUCAUUUUGUUUAUAAAGGUACAGUAGUUGUUUCCGUUUAGUUGUAUCAUCUGUUUUGUCCUCUUCUACUAUUUCAUUAAAAACAGAAUUUGAAUAUCGUUCUAGUUAAUUGAAAAUUUGAACUUAGCUACCCAUAGACUCAAAGAGACUGUUUUGUCGUUUACCAGCUUUAUAACCACAGAAAAUUUGAAGGAUUGAUUCAUGUUGUGUUUAUCUUUUUUGUGACAAAUUCGUUUAAACUCAUGAUGCUUAAGGUUUACCAAAGAACUUGCAACGCAUAGAGCGUAUGGAUACAAAGUAAGAAAAGCUUCACUAGUCUUAGAUUAACGAAAGUUUCACACACACAUAACAAACUGAAUCAAUCCAAGAACGCAAAUCAGAACAAACCAAACCCAUCUAACAAACUCAUAGAACAUCCAUGACAAGGACACUAAAGCAUAUAUCUCCAACAGUCUUCUGUCCAAAUACACAAUAAGAAGAGACAUAAAUCUUCGACUGUACCCACAAACAAACAACACAGAGGUCUACUGUAUAAAACGAUGAUCAUAUGUACUAUCAAAACAUAGUUUCCCAAAUCCUUGUGGUAGAAUACAACCAUACCAGUAGAAUAAACCCAAACAAAAGCAAUACAAGGAGGAUCUGAAAAGAUACAAGUCUAUACAUCUCACAAACUUUAAACGGUAAACAAAUCAUUCAAAUUCAACCUUUUAUAUGUUUCUAUAAGGAACCAAAUCCAGCAAACUUCAAAAAUAGAACAAAGAUUAAAGGAAUAAAUGUAACAAGAAAGUUGAAGUCAAAACGAAGUUUCAGACUCCAUCAUUUUUAUUCGAUUGUGUGUAACAGUGUAAGUAACAGCUUAUAGUUUUGUCUAUACAAAGACUCUUUUAGCGAACGAAAAAACUUGACAAAACCCGUAGAAGCUAACUCACACCGAAGAAGAUGUCCAUACAAAAUAUAGUUAAUCCUGUUGUUUAUCGGUUCUGUUCUUGUUUCCAUAUAUCAGACCAGUAACCUACAAUAUAACAAACCAUUGAUAACUUAUAAAUAACAUCCUAAGGAACGCAAAUGACUGAUUGAUUUUUUUUGUAGACUGACCUGAGGAUCAGCGAUUGGUCUCCUCUUCUCGACGUAUUCAUUCGCAUCAGCCACCGCGAGAAGUGCCCUUGCCUAAAUCAAACCAAAGAAGAAACUAAAAUAAGAGAUUCUUUUUUUUUUAGAGACCAUGAGUGUCGAGAUCGGUACCUGCUGUUCCUUUUUGAGAUCCUGAGCUGGUUUAACCCAAAGAUAGUAAGCGAUUGUUCCCGCGACGAGCCAAGAAGCGAGAUUCUGACCUCCUCUGAGUCCACCCAUGGAGUUUCCCACGAACGACCUCACGUUCCCCAUUGAUCUUCUCCAGUCGCUACCCAUUUGAUACCACUCUUUGAUCUCUUCAGUCACUUUGAUGGAUGAUUCGAUUUGUGAAUUAGAAAAGUAAAGCUUUGAUUUGGUCUGAUUCUAAUUUGCUUGGUGCCCACUGCGAAUACUAAACCGGGGUCGUCGAGACCGGUUAGUGGUGGCAAUUCAGCAAUCUGUGUUUUGUUUGUGAUUUGAACAUCGUGCGUCUGUAAUUUCUCCACGUAGCAUUAGGAGAUCUGAUCUAAUAUAUGGGCUGGAUAAAAUUGUUAGGCACAUCGACUUUGAAUAAGGUAGCUGUAGUAAAACCCACCUCGAUACAUAAUUUUUUUGGAAAAUGGAGGACGUUAGUACUAAUUUUCAUGAGAAUUCUUGGAAAAUGUCCGACAUUAGUACUACAGUAAAACCCACCUCGAUAAAUAAUUAUUUUGGAAAAUGUCGGACAUUAGUACUAAUUUUCAUGAGAAAGGACUAACAAUACUCAAUAGACCAGACACAGGCCAUAACCGAAUCCGGUUAUAGUAAGGGUGGUGUGUUGGUUGUGUACCCCUCUGAUUUUCUUGAAGAUGAAUGACUUGAAUACGCUUGAAUACGCGAUGAGGAUCCAGAAAAGCCCAAAGUAUUAAUGAUGAUAAUUUAUGAGUUGACUAAAUGAAUUGGGUUUGAGAUAACUCAGCAUACAGGUUUAUCAUGAUCAUCGUCCCGCCCCGCCCCGCAGUUAACAGUAACAAAAAUCUCUACAUAUACUAUAUAUCUAUAUAUUUUUAUAACUGUUAGAACCAUACUGCAAUUGAACCGCUUGUCCCGCACUAUAAAAUGAGAGAUAUAAACUAGAAACAUAAAGUUAAUUAUACAUAUGUUCGGUUAUCUUCGGAUAUCCAUUCGGGUUCGGGUAUUAUCCGUUCGGGUUCGGGUAUCCAAUCUCUCCUUAUUCAAUACCCGUUCGGGUAUUUUGCUACUUCGGUUCGGAUUUCGGUUCGGUUUUUUCGGAUCGGGUUCGGAUGCCACUUCGGGUAUCGGGUAAAGUGCCCACCCCUAUAACACACUACAUAGAGACAGCCACGAGUCUCUCCAUAAUAGAACACUUGUGUCGGCAAAAGCUACGAGUCACACUUCUCUCUUAUUACGCUUUUGUCGUAAAAAAGAAAAAAAAAAAAUUUUGAAACCGAAACGGUGCGUUUCGUUUCACCGGCGCCGGAAACAAUGAGGAAGGAGAUUCUGCCGCCGGUGUCCACCACCACCGUCUGUUUAGAGAAUAAGCCACUGGUCGCUACAUUGCUAGCUCUCUCCCUCGUCAUGAUCAUCUGGAACCUUCCACCUUACUACCACAACCUCAUCUCCACCGCUCCUCCCUGCUCCGCCUCUCCCACCACCACCGCCACCACCAUACUCUCCUCCUCCUCCUCAUUUUCUCCACCUGAGAAUUUCGCCACCUCUCUCUCCGCCACGCCGGCAACUUCUCCUCCGUCAGAUCCGAACAAACGCGUUUUCCAACCGUUCGGAAACGCGGCGGCGCUGUUCGUCCUCAUGGGAGCUUACCGCGGCGGUCCAUCAUCCUUCUCCGUCGUCGGACUCGCCUCAAAGCCAAUCCACACCUUCGGGAAGCCAUGGUUCAAGUGCGAGUACCUAUCCAACAACGGAACCACAACACGAGCCACCAAAGCCGUGAAGAUCCUCCCGGACUGGGGCUACGGACGAGUCUACACCGUCGUGGUCGUCAACUGCACGUUCCACUCGAACCCCAACUCCGAUAACUCCGGAGGUAAACUCAUCC
rnacentral:lncRNA from 1 species